UACGGAGGGACUAGCGUUGUUCGGAAUUACUGGGCGUAAAGCGCACGUAGGCGGAUUGUAAGUCAGGGGUGAAAUCCCGGGGCUCAACCUCGGAACUGCCUUUGAUACUGCAAAUCUCGAGUCCGGAAGAGGUGAGUGGAAUUCCUAGUGUAGAGGUGAAAUUCGUAGAUAUUAGGAAGAACACCAGUGGCGAAGGCGGCUCACUGGUCCGGUACUGACGCUGAGG
rnacentral:rRNA from 1 species